ACAAUGCUUCUUUAUUUCUCAAUUAUUAUCAUAAACAAAUCAAUAAAAAAGGACAUCAAACUAAAAUGGUACUUAUAAUAGACUCAAGGGAUCAUCACUAUCUUUUAGCAGUUCAUGGCCCUGAUAAUCCAACAAUUGAUCUCAAUACGGCAAUUUACUAUAGGGUAGGCGUACAAACAUGAUAAUCUUCACUGGCAAGAAAACAAUAUUUUUCAUAUAGUCAAAACCUCCUGAACAGCAAGAUAUUAAUCGGAUGUCAUCAUCUUACUGAACCUGUCAUACAAAGCAUUGAAAAAUGAGGAAUGAUUUAGUAGCUGAUCUGUAGAUCAAUAUACUUUGGCAAUGGUUGUACUGAAUAUUAAUUCCAAACAAAAAUCUAAAAAGGGCACAAUAAAUCAGGUUACCCACAAAACUCCAUGUAUCCAUCAUAUAUUUUCAAUGUGAUAAUGAACUUACCUAAAAAAACAAUCAAGAGGAAGACUCAUCCAAUAAUCCAUGAAAACAUUGCAACGAGAGCCUACUGGUAAGGCGUUUCUAGUAUUCUUCUUGAGCAACUUCUCCUUUUCCCUCUCCCUUCUCCAAUUCUUUGCUUCCCGUGCCUCCCACUUCUCCUCUUUCCUCAAACGCUCUUCUUCAGUUUCUUGAAAAAUCAAGAUCUGGAACUCCUAUUUCAACGCACUUCAGAAAGUGGCAAAGCUUUGCAUACCCAUUGCCUAGUAUCAAAGUUAAACCGCUUUAGAUAUAAAGGUUAUAGACUUCGCUCCAUACGGAAUAAGGAUUAUGCAUCAAAUAUUCAGUACUAAAUGUAAUUCUGCUACCACAAAUUAGAUAUGUUCUAUUUGUAAAAUUUGCCGUACUCCUCAUACCAUAGGUGCAAUGUCACAGGCAAGGUUAUGAGAUCAUUUUUGUGGUUAGAAACUUACACUUCAAAUAUUUACGAGGUUAGUAAGCAAAAGGUUGUCUGAUAUGCAGUGUCCUCAUUUCUCUCGGGCCAAUCAAAAUGCUUCAACGGUGCACCCUGAUGUAGCAUUGGUUCUGUUGGAUUCCAUUCAGCCGUGUGCUUCCAGAAUCGGAGGAACCUGCACCACAUCGUGCCCAUCCAAAUAUAAGCACUAAAAAAUACUUUACAAUAGGAUCAAAUAAUCUUGCUUCUAUGGAAAUAAUGCAUUCUAAUCCUUGGCAACAUAGCUCUGUAUUCAAUCUGAGGCUUCAUGAGCGGAGGGUAGUUGUAUGCGAGGAUAAUCAACUUCCAUGAACAAAACAUACAAAAUAGACUAUUUGAACAAAGGCUGAUGUAGAAGACAGCCACUACUAUAAAUUUGUAACAUAGCUCAGUAUUCAAUAUGAGGCUUCCAUCUCAUGUUUUAACUACAACAAUCUUAAAAGCUAACGAGGAAAAACAUAAACUCCCAAUCCGCAAACUAUCCCACAAAAUUUCCGUGUACAACAACCUGACAUCAUAAGUAGGCCUCCAACCAGACAUCAUAGGCUGGCUUGCAAACAUUUUCAACUGCACGGGCAUCAUAGGUAGGCCUCCUUGUCGACUACAGCAUAGAUAUACCUUAGUUACCUCCAUGAACACCGGAAAAGUCAAGACUCAGCUAGAACAACAGAAGAUAUUUAUAAACAGAAAUGGCAUGAACAUAGAUCUUCCAAAGCAAAGGGGAAGAACUGAGAGGGGGUGGGGUGGGAGAAGAGGCUUACCACUAAGUUUCGUCCCGCAUGAACACCUCCGCCCACACGAGCACCUCCGACCACACGAGCUGCAGGCCAACCGACACCUCUGAAAUUGUUAAGAGGAGCUUAAUUUGUGAAGCGUUCGUCAAACACCCAAGAAACAAAACACUAAGGCCCAAGAAACAACAUGAAAAUAGAUUGAAGCACACGUACAAUUGAGGCUGCAGCGGAAUUUACCAGAGGUGAACAGGGCCUUUGACGCAGAAUAGACCAAUCAAAGGACCUGAAAUUUUUUCAAGAAAAAGGACCUGGAAAUUAGAAAAUAUAUAAGACCUUAUUAUUGAUAUUUGUUGCAAUUACACGGCAUGCCUCUAACGUAUUUGCAAUUAUGGCAUUCUUAGUAAUCUGAAUGUGUAGCAAAACUCUGAAUUUUGUACCGUAGGACAGUUGUGCUCACUCUGACCAGAAGCAUGUAUUUGUACAAAUUUCAAGAAAAAUUGCACUUCUUAAGUAUUUAAAAGUGAAAAUCUGAAUUAUGUGUCAUAGGACAAUUGUGCUCACUCAGCGUUGCGGCUUGUAUUUGUAUGCGGAGGGUAGUUGUAUGCGAGGAUAAUCAACUUCCAUGAACAAAACAUACAAAAUAGACUAUUUGAACAAAGGCUGAUGUAGAAGAUAGCCACUACUAUAAAUUUGUAACAUAGCUCAGUAUUCAAUAUGAGGCUUCCAUCUCAUGUUUUAACUACAACAAUCUUAAAAGCUAACGAGGAAAAACAUAAACUCCCAAUCCGCAAACUAUCCCACAAAAUUUCCGUGUACAACAACCUGACAUCAUAAGUAGGCCUCCAAUCAGACAUCAUAGGCUGGCUUGCAAACAUUUUCAACUGCACGGGCAUCAUAGGUAGGCCUCCUUGUCGACUACAGCAUAGAUAUACCUUAGUUACCUCCAUGAACACCGGAUAAGUCAAGACUCAGCUAGAACAACAGAAGAUAUUUAUAAACAGAAAUGGCAUGAACAUAGAUCUUCCAAAGCAAAGGGGAAGAACUGAGAGGGGGUGGGGUGGGAGAAGAGGCUUACCACUAAGUUUCGUCCCGCAUGAGCACCUCCGCCCACACGAGCACCUCCGACCACACGAGCUGCAGGCCAACCGACACCUCUGAAAUUGUUAAGAGGAGCUUAAUUUGUGAAGCGUUCGUCAAACACCCAAGAAACAAAACACUAAGGCCCAAGAAACAACAUGAAAAUAGAUUGAAGCACACGUACAAUUGAGGCUGCAGCGGAAUUUACCAGAGGUGAACAGGGUCUUUGACGCAGAAUAGACCAAUCAAAGGACCUGAAAUUUUUUCAAGAAAAAGGACCUGGAAAUUAGAAAAUAUAUAAGACCUUAUUAUUGAUAUUUGUUGCAAUUACACGGCAUGCCUCUAACGUAUUUGCAAUUAUGGCAUUCUUAGUAAUCUGAAUGUGUAGCAAAACUCUGAAUUUUGUACCGUAGGACAGUUGUGCUCACUCUGACCAGAAGCAUGUACUUGUACAAAUUUCAAGAAAAAUUGCACUUCUUAAGUAUUUAAAAGUGAAAAUCUGAAUUAUGUGUCAUAGGACAAUUGUGCUCACUCAGCG
rnacentral:lncRNA from 1 species